rnacentral:misc_RNA from 1 species
UGUGGGAGGGGGCUUGCCCCCGAUAGCGGUGUGUCAGUCAGAAUAUCUGGUACUGACACACCGUAAUCGGGGCAAGCCCCCUCCCACA